GAUGAACGCUAGCUACAGGCUUAACACAUGCAAGUCGAGGGGAAACGGCAUCGAAAGCUUGCUUUUGAUGGGCGUCGACCGGCGCACGGGUGAGUAACGCGUAUCCAACCUGCCCAUCACUUGGGAAUAACCUUGCGAAAGUAAGACUAAUGCCCAAUGACAUCCCACGAAGGCAUCCGAAUGGGAUUAAAGAUUUAUCGGUGAUGGAUGGGGAUGCGUCUGAUUAGCUUGUUGGCGGGGUGACGGCCCACCAAGGCAACGAUCAGUAGGGGUUCUGAGAGGAAGGUCCCCCACAUUGGAACUGAGACACGGUCCAAACUCCUACGGGAGGCAGCAGUGAGGAAUAUUGGUCAAUGGGCGAGAGCCUGAACCAGCCAAGUAGCGUGCAGGAUGACGGCCCUAUGGGUUGUAAACUGCUUUUAUAAGGGAAUAAAGUGGGUCAUGUGUGACUUUUUGCAUGUACCUUAUGAAUAAGGACCGGCUAAUUCCGUG
rnacentral:rRNA from 1 species